rnacentral:rRNA from 1 species
AUGCAGCUGGACAAGGCCACCGGCGCCAAGUGCUUCGCGCUUUCGGUUAGCACGCUGCAGCUUACGCAGUUUGGGAGAUGGGACGAAUGGCGCUUGAUCCAUCUCGAUUUUGAUCACAACACAAGAGGCAAAAGGUUCUCAAGAGCGGCUAACAUCUCAUAUACCCGCAGCAGUAUGGAAAUCUGCGGCAACAUACAUAGCAAGAUGCUCUCCCCAAACUCAACCUACGCCGUUUACAUUGUGUUCAAGCUAGCAGGCUAUGAACUCGACGGGUGGGACCGAGACGUUCAGCUCCUUCAGUUUGACGAGGGGGUAGUCACCAUCUGA